rnacentral:misc_RNA from 1 species
GGAUGAAGAACGUAGCGAACUGCGAUAAGUAAUGUGAAUUGCAGAAUUCAGUGAAUCAUCGAGUCUUUGAACGCACAUUGCGCCCCCUGGCAUUCCGGGGGGCAUGCCUGUCCGAGCGUCAUUGCUGCCCUUCAAGCCCGGCUUGUGUGUUGGGUCGUCGUCCCCCCCGGGGGACGGGCCCGAAAGGCAGCGGCGGCACCGCGUCCGGUCCUCGAGCGUAUGGGGCUUUGUCACCCGCUCGAUUAGGGCCGGCCGGGCGCCAGCCGGCGUCUCCAACCUUCUAUUUUACCAGGUUGACCUCGGAUCAGGUAGGGAUACCCGCUGAACUUAAGCAUAUCAAUAAGCGGAGGA